UGGGGAAUAUUGCACAAUGGAGGGAACUCUGAUGCAGCGACGCCGCGUGAGUGAUGAAGGAAUUCGUUUCGUAAAACUCUGUUCUAUGGGAAGAAAAGGACUGUACCAUAGGAGAAAGCUCCGGCUAAAUACGUGCCAGCAGCCGCGGUAAUACGUAUGGAGCGAGCGUUGUCCGGAAUUAUUGGGCGUAAAGGGUGCGCAGGCGGCUUUACAAGUUGGAUGUGAAAUAUUGUGGCUCAACCACAAACGUGCAUCCAAAACUGCAAAGCUUGAGUUAAGGAGAGGUAAGUGGAAAUCCGGGUGUAGCGGUGGAAUGCGUAGAUAUCAGGAGGAAUACCGGUGGCGAAGGCGACUUACUGGACUUAAACUGACGCUCAGGCACGAAAGCGUGGGGAGCAAACAGG
rnacentral:rRNA from 1 species